rnacentral:rRNA from 1 species
UCGGGUUGUAAAGCACUUUUGUCCGGAAAGAAAUCCCUCCUUCCAAUAUAGGGAGGGGAUGACGGUACCGGAAGAAUAAGCACCGGCUAACUACGUGCCAGCAGCGCGGUAAUCGUAGGGUGCGAGCGUUAAUCGGAAUUACUGGGCGUAAAGCGUGCGCAGGCGGUUUGCUAAGACCGAUGUGAAAUCCCCGGGCUCAACCUGGGAACUGCAUUGGUGACUGGCAAGCUAGAGUAUGGCAGAGGGGGGUAGAAUUCCACGUGUAGCAGUGAAAUGCGUAGAGAUGUGGAGGAAUACCGAUGGCGAAGGCAGCCCCCUGGGCCAAUACUGACGCUCAUGCAUGAAAGCGUGGGGAGCAAACAGGAUUAGGUACCCUGGUAGUCCACGCCCUAAACGAUGUCAACUAGUUGUUGGGUCUUCAUUGACUUAGUAACGUAGCUAACGCGUGAAGUUGACCGCCUGGGGAGUACGGUCGCAAGAUUAAAACUCAAAGGAAUUGACGGGGACCCGCACAAGCGGUGGAUGAAUGUGGAUUAAUUCGAUGCAACGCGAAAAACCUUACCUACCCUUGACAUGGACGGAAUCCUGAAG